rnacentral:rRNA from 1 species
AUUGAACGCUGGCGGCAGGCCUAACACAUGCAAGUCGGACGGUAGCACAGAGGAGCUUGCUCCUUGGGUGACGAGUGGCGGACGGGUGAGUAAUGUCUGGGGAUCUGCCCGAUAGAGGGGGAUAACCACUGGAAACGGUGGCUAAUACCGCAUAACGUCGCAAGACCAAAGAGGGGGACCUUCGGGCCUCUCACUAUCGGAUGAACCCAGAUGGGAUUAGCUAGUAGGCGGGGUAAUGGCCACCUAGGCGACGAUCCCUAGCUGGUCUGAGAGGAUGACCAGCCACACUGGAACUGAGACACGGUCCAGACUCCUACGGGAGGCAGCAGUGGGGAAUAUUGCACAAUGGGCGCAAGCCUGAUGCAGCCAUGCCGCGUGUAUGAAGAGGGCCUUCGGGUUGUAAAGUACUUUCAGCGGGGAGGAAGGCGGUGAGGUUAAUAACCUCGCCGAUUGACGUUACCCGCAGAAGAAGCACCGGCUAACUCCGUGCCAGCCGCCGCGGUAA